UGAGGAAUAUUGGUCAAUGGGCGGAAGCCUGAACCAGCCAAGUAGCGUGCAGGAAGACGGCCCUCCGGGUUGUAAACUGCUUUUAGUUGGGAAUAAAACGGGGCUCGUGAGCCCCCUUGCAUGUACCAUCAGAAAAAGGACCGGCUAAUUCCGUGCCAGCAGCCGCGGUAAUACGGAAGGUCCGGGCGUUAUCCGGAUUUAUUGGGUUUAAAGGGGGCGCAGGCGGACCUUUAAGUCAGCUGUGAAAUACGGCGGCUCAACCGUCGAACUGCAGUUGAUACUGGAGGUCGUGAGUGCACACAGGGAUGCUGGAAUUCAUGGUGUAGCGGUGAAAUGCUCAGAUAUCAUGAAGAACUCCGAUCGCGAAGGCAGGCAUCCGGGGUGCAACUGACGCUGAGGCUCGAAAGUGCGGGUAUCAAACA
rnacentral:rRNA from 1 species